rnacentral:rRNA from 1 species
UACAGAGGGGGCGAGCGUUGUUCGGAAUUACUGGGCGUAAAGGGCGCGUAGGCGGCCUUCUAAGUCGAACGUGAAAUCCCCGGGCUCAACCCGGGAACUGCGUCCGAUACUGGGAGGCUUGAAUCCGGGAGAGGGAUGUGGAAUUCCAGGUGUAGCGGUGAAAUGCGUAGAUAUCUGGAGGAACACCGGUGGCGAAGGCGGCAUCCUGGACCGGUAUUGACGCUGACGGCGCGAAAGCCAGGGGAGCAAAGCGGGAUUAGAAACCCCGAG